UCUCCUGCUAAUCUGUCUCUGUUCAUAUCUGACCUGAGAGAAGAGGAUCAUGGAGUCUACAGGUGCAGCACUGAGAAAGAAUACAGAGACAUCAGGCUUAAUGUUAAAGGCUGUGAGCUGGUGAAGACAGGGGUAGAGCGUGUGACUGUGUUCACAGGAGAGUCUGUAGUUCUGCCCUGCAUCUGCACUGACCUACAGGACAAACCAAAGUCUGUAAAAUGGCAGUUUUCAAUACCAGCAACUGGAAUCAGUCACUUUCAGGAAAUUUACCCUGAACAGACUGGACGUCACAGAAACAGAGUCAAACUGGUCAGUAACAACGCUCCAGGAAACCUCUCUCUACUCAUAUCAGACCUGACUGAAGAGGACCUGGGAGUCUACAGAUGUUCUGUACAGGCCGAUAGCAGAGAUGUCAGAUUAUCUGUUAAAGUAGGAAGAAGAGAAACUUCAUCAGAACCGCCUCAGAGUAAAACAACAAAUUCUCCACCUGCAUCUCCACACAGCAGCCUCCC